AGCUAGCUAACGUUAACUAGUAAAAGAUGAAAAGGCAGCAAAACAUCCUUUCAAUCAUCAUUCACUCUUCUGACAUCUUUAUUUGUGCUGCAUCCACAAUGCCAGCAGGGAAUGAAAGCUUGCUUAGCGCCGUUUUCAUAGCCUAGCUUAUUAGAUGAGCCUGACCUCUGCAUGCACUGCAACUUCUCCUCAGAAUGCGGCUUCAUUUGUUCAGCACAAUAUCUCAGUAAGCAGUGGGCAGAAGACAUGGAAAUACCUCAAACCGGUCCACCACAGCACUACCAGAGACAGAUAGACACAACAAUACCUUUGGGAACAGCCGAAGACAGAGGAAAUUCGGGAAAGAGAGAGAGGGGAUGACAUGCGGCAAAGGGCCACGGGCCAGAUCCGAACCCGGGCCGCCGCAGCAAGGUCCCAGCCCUGCACGUGGGGCGCACCCCACCAGACGAGCCACCGGCACCCCAUUACUCUAGCACUUUAGAAAAGAUUGUUCCAACAGCACUGUAGCAUAAUUCAGUUUAUGUAUAUAAUAUAAAAUCAGAUCUGUAAUAUUUCAGGUGCUAACAAUAACUUGUUCACUUUUGUCAACCAGGCAACCUAAUGUAUUUUCCAGGGAUAACAUCAAGGCGGCUGAUGAACUAGAGAGCCAGAAAUAUGAGAUCACAUUCGAAUAAACUUCCCAUGUUAUAUGUCACUGUCACAAAUGCACAAUGGGACUGUACAAAAUCUGCGCUUGUUUCACUUUUUUGCUAUAAAUCACUAGUGGUGUCACAUUUUUCUUAAGGUGGAUAUCUAAGUUAAAAAAAAAAUACAAUUCCACAUAAAGUGCACAGGGGUCAUGCAGUCCAUUAGCCACUAGUCUGCUUUGAUACAUGAGUAGUAAGGUGCAAUUUCUUUUCUGCUAAAUAAAUUGAUGAUACUCCCGACAGUCUGCCGAGGCCUCCAGUUGUUGUGCUGUUCAGCUGUGCUAGUGUUGUGGGAAGAUUUAAAGGAGAUGUUGCUCUUUGGUAAAUGCCAAGUGUACAUUUCAAUUACACAGAUCAUCAGCAGCUUACCAUCAAUUUAAAAAUGCAUGACAAUAUAUUUGAACUCUUGUACCUCAGGUCAAGAGGAAACAAUCAACCUAUCCGAACAAGUCUAAAUUGUGUUUACAUAUUGUAGAUGGAGACUUCCUCUUUACGUAUUCGACAGACAAACCAAAAUCCAAAGACAAAAUGAAAACAAGGUGUCAGGUGAAAUGCCUUUACAUUGAUGCUUUUUGAGUUGGCAGAAAAGAUCUUACUGAAUGCAAACUAGAAAAUAUGAAAGUCAUCAUCAACAGUACUACAUGCCAUUCACUGACUAUA